CCCCUCGAUUUCCGUGCGCCGAUCGCCUAUAUCGGCUCUGCCUACCUUCGGGUGGCUAUGGUGAUAAACGGUACGUGGAAUAAGCAUUUCGGACCCGGGGGCAGUGCCCGGCGUCUCCACCAAUCUAGCCCGCCAGGGAUCGUAUGGCGGCCGAUGGGGACGAAACAGCUUCGACGUAUGCGGUAAAGACGUAUCUUUUGCCCGGCAUUGUACCGCCGUUAUCGGGCUAUUUCACAAGUGCCAACGAUAAUGGUCGCGAGACCAUGGCGCUCGCUGCCUAACCAUAGGUAAGCGCUGCCCGGGGGGAGCAGGGCAACAGAAUCCCCCCACU
rnacentral:tmRNA from 1 species